CCUACGGGAGGCAGCAGUGAGGAAUAUUGGUCAAUGGACGAGAGUCUGAACCAGCCAAGUAGCGUGAAGGAUGACUGCCCUAUGGGUUGUAAACUUCUUUUAUAUGGGAAUAAAAUGUUCCACGUGUGGGAUUUUGUAUGUACCAUAUGAAUAAGGAUCGGCUAACUCCGUGCCAGCAGCCGCGGUAAUACGGAGGAUCCGAGCGUUAUCCGGAUUUAUUGGGUUUAAAGGGAGCGUAGGUGGAUUGUUAAGUCAGUUGUGAAAGUUUGCGGCUCAACCGUAAAAUUGCAGUUGAAACUGGCAGUCUUGAGUACAGUAGAGGUGGGCGGAAUUCGUGGUGUAGCGGUGAAAUGCUUAGAUAUCACGAAGAACUCCGAUUGCGAAGGCAGUUCACUGGACUGCAACUGACACUGAGGCUCGAAAGUGUGGGUAUCAAACAGGAUUAGAGACCCGAGUAGUC
rnacentral:rRNA from 1 species